rnacentral:rRNA from 1 species
AUUAUUGCGAACAGAGUAAUUGAUCAUGGCUCAGAUUGAACGCUGGCGGGAUGCUUUACACAUGCAAGUCGAACGGCAGCACGGACUUCGGUCUGGUGGCGAGUGGCGAACGGGUGAGCAAUGUAUCGGAACGUGCCUUCAGUAGCGGGGAUAACUACGCGAAAGCGUAGCUAAUACCGCAUAACGCCCCUUCGGGGAAAGCGGGACCUUCGGGCCUCGCACUAUUAGAGCGGCCGAUUUGAUUAAGCAGGGUAACGGUCACCGCGACGAUCCGUAGCUGGUUUGAGAGGACGACCAGCCACACUGGGACUGAGAGACACGGCCCAGACUCCUACGGGAGGCAGCAGUGGGGAAUUUGACAAUGGGGAACCCCGAUCCAGCCAUCCCGCGUAUGCGAUGAAGGCCUUCUCGGGCUGUAAAGCACUUUUGGCAGGAAAGAAACGGCACGGAUAAUACCCUGCAACUGACGGUACCUGGGAGAAUAAGCACCACAAUUCAUGCGCCCGUAGCCGCGGUAAUACGUAGGUGUGUUAAUCGAAUUACUGGGCGUAAAGGUGCGCAGGCGGUUCGGAAAGAAAGAUGAAAUCCCAGAGCUUAACUUUUGGAACUGCAUUUUUAACUACCGAGCUAGAGUGUGUCGAGGAGGUGAAAUUCCGCGUAGCAGUGAAAUGCGUAGAUAUGCGGAGGAACACCGAUGGCGAAGGCAGCCCCUGAUAACACUGACGCUCAUGCACGAAAGCGUGGGGAGCAAACAGGAUUAGAUACCCUGGUAGUCCACGCCCUAAACGAUGUCAACUAGCUGUUGGGGCCUUCGGCCGGUAGCGCAGCUAACGCGUGAAGUUGACCGCCUUGGGGAGUACGGUCGCAAGAUUAAAAACUCAAAGGAAUUGACGGGACCCGCACAGCGGUGGAUGAUGUGGAUUAAUUCGAUGCAACGCGAAAACUCACCUACCCUUGAGCAUGUCUGGAAUCCCUGAAGAGAUUUGGGAGUGCUCGCAAGAGAAACCGGAACACAGAAAGGUAUGGCUGCCGUCAGCUCGUGUCGUGAGAUGUUGGGUUAAGUCCUGCAACGAGCGCAACCCGUCAUUAGUUGUUACGAAAGGGCACUCUGUACGACUGCCGGUGACAAACCGGAGGAAGGUGAUGACGUCAAGUCCUCAUGGUUCUUAUGGGUAGGUGUCACACGCUGGCACAGCUUUGUCGGGACAGAGGGUCACAACAUCCGCGAGGGGGAGCCAAUCCCAGAAACCCGAUCGUAGUCCGGAUCGCAGUCUGCAACUCGACUGUGAAGUCGGAAUCGCUAGUAAUCGCGGAUCAGUGCAUGUCGCGGUGAAUACGUUCCCGGGUCUUGUACACACCGCCCGUCACACCAUGGGAGUGGGUUUUACCAGAAGUAGUUAGCCUAACCGUAAGGAGGGCGAUUACCACGGUAGAUUCAUGACUGGGGUGAAGUCGUAACAAGGUAA